ACCUACGGGGCGCAGCAGUAGGGAAUCUUCCACAAUGGGCGAAAGCCUGAUGGAGCAACGCCGCGUGGGUGAAGAAGGUCUUCGGAUCGUAAAACCCUGUUGUUAGAGAAGAAAGUGCGUGAGAGUAGCUGUUCACGUUUCGACGGUAUCUAACCAGAAAGCCACGGCUAACUACGUGCCAGCAGCCGCGGUAAUACGUAGGUGGCAAGCGUUAUCCGGAUUUAUUGGGCGUAAAGAGAACGCAGGCGGUCUUUUAAGUCUGAUGUGAAAGCCUUCGGCUUAACCGGAGUGGUGCAUUGGAAACU
rnacentral:rRNA from 1 species